AGUUGAAUUUUUACUUAGUUGUGGCCCAGUCAUGAAACUGUUCUGCUUUUUGUCCGUUUUUUCUCUCUCUUUUGGCUUGAUUCAGAGCCUUGUGGGUUAGUUUUUGCAUGCCAUUGAAGCAUUAAUUGUUCCCUAAUUUAUUUAUAGUUAUUAAUAUAUCUCUCUUGUAGAUUUACAGUUUCCACCUGUGGAUAGGUGCAAGGCCAAGUGUCAGCCCGAAAGAUGUGAACUUAUCUACCAAUCACCUGGGGACUGCACAGAAGGAUUUUGCUGUCGCUAUAAGCCUGAAAACUAAUAAAUAUCAAUAUUUGUUAGGGUUUCUAGCUUAUUGUUCCCACUUGAAUAUACACCAGAAAUUUGUUAUGAAUCAUUUCAUUAAAGAUUUCUAAAUUCUAUAAU
rnacentral:lncRNA from 1 species